CNGUCGCGNAACCNUUCUUUAGUAUUCCCGCCCUGGGGAGUACGCUCCCCAAGAGUGAAACUCNNAAGGAAUUGGACGGGGACCCCNCCACAAACCGGUGGANCCAUGUGNUUUAANUCGNACGNCAACGNGGAGAACGCUUACCUGGACUAGAAUGUGAGGGGAAUGNUCGGGUNAAUGCCCGGCAGUNCCGGGAUNACCGGACCCANAAANCAAGGUGNNGCCAUGGCUGUCGUCAGCUCGUGUCGUGAGAAUGUUGGGUUAAGUCCCGCAACGAGCGCNACCCUUAUCAACAGUUGCCAUCAUUAAGUUGGGAACUCUGNUGAGACUGCCGUUGAUAAAACGGAGGAAGGUGGGGAUGAUGUCAAGUCAUCAUGGCCUUUAUGUUCAGGGCUACACACGUGCUACAAUGGAUGGUACAAAACGUCGCAAUCUCGUAAGAGGGAGCUAAUCGCGAAAACCAUUCUCAGUUCGGAUUGAAGUCUGCAACUCGACUUCAUGAAGUUGGAAUCGCUAGUAAUCGCAAAUCAGCAUGUUGCGGUGAAUACGUUCCCGGGUCUUGUACACACCGCCCGUCACAUCACGAAAGUAGGUUGUACUAGAAGUAGCUGGGCCAACUCGCCAAGAGAGGCAGGUUACCACGGUAUGAUUUAUGAUUGGGGUGAAGUCGUAACCAAGGUACC
rnacentral:rRNA from 1 species